UCAAAGGCUCUUUUCAGAGCCACCUAUUUAUUCUAUAAAGUGCUG
rfam:Otolemur garnettii contig059044, whole genome shotgun sequence.